rnacentral:tRNA from 1 species
GGAGAAAUUAGUAAAGUUACUGCUAAUAAUUUUCUGUCAGUUAGAUCUGACUUUCUCUU